rnacentral:rRNA from 1 species
UUUUAACGAAAAGUGGCGCACGGGUGCGUAACGCGUAUGCAACCUACCUUAAUCAGGGGGAUAGCCCGGAGAAAUUCGGAUUAACACCGCAUAAAAUCACAGCAUAGCAUUAUGCAAUGAUCAAAUAUUUAUAGGAUUAAGAUGGGCAUGCGUGACAUUAGUUAGUUGGCGGGGUAACGGCCCACCAAGACCACGAUGUCUAGGGGAUCUGAGAGGAUGACCCCCCACACUGGUACUGAGACACGGACCAGACUCCUACGGGAGGCAGCAGUAAGGAAUAUUGGUCAAUGGAGGCAACUCUGAACCAGCCAUGCCGCGUGCAGGAAGACAGCCCUCUGGGUCGUAAACUGCUUUUAUUCGGGAAUAAACCCAUCUACGUGUAGAUGGCUGAAUGUACCGAAGGAAUAAGGAUCGGCUAACUCCGUGCCAGCAGCCGCGGUAAUACGGAGGU